rnacentral:rRNA from 1 species
GAUGUUAGCGGCGGACGGGUGAGUAACACGUGGGUAACCUGCCUGUAAGACUGGGAUAACUCCGGGAAACCGGAGCUAAUACCGGAUAGUUCCUUGAACCGCAUGGUUCAAGGAUGAAAGACGGUUUCGGCUGUCACUUACAGAUGGACCCGCGGCGCAUUAGCUAGUUGGUGGGGUAAUGGCUCACCAAGGCGACGAUGCGUAGCCGACCUGAGAGGGUGAUCGGCCACACUGGGACUGAGACACGGCCCAGACUCCUACGGGAGGCAGCAGUAGGGAAUCUUCCGCAAUGGACGAAAGUCUGACGGAGCAACGCCGCGUGAGUGAUGAAGGUUUUCGGAUCGUAAAGCUCUGUUGUUAGGGAAGAACAAGUGCGAGAGUAACUGCUCGCACCUUGACGGUACCUAACCAGAAAGCCACGGCUAACUACAUGCCAGCAGCCGCGGUAAUACGUAGGUGGCAAGCGUUGUCCGGAAUUAUUGGGCGUAAAGGGCUCGCAGGCGGUUUCUUAAGUCUGAUGUGAAAGCCCCCGGCUCAACCGGGGAGGGUCAUUGGAAACUGGGAAACUUGAGUGCAGAAGAGGAGAGUGGAAUUCCACGUGUAGCGGUGAAAUGCGUAGAGAUGUGGAGGAACACCAGUGGCGAAGGCGACUCUCUGGUCUGUAACUGACG